GCGCCCGUAGCUCAGAUGGAUAGAGCACCGCCCUCCUAAGGCGGGGGCCGCACGUUCGAAUCGUGCCGGGCGCA
rnacentral:tRNA from 1 species